GGUUUUAUAUUCAUUAUAUGAUUUUAAAUUGCAAGUUUAAAGGUGUAGUUUCUACUAAGGCCU
rnacentral:tRNA from 1 species